rnacentral:rRNA from 1 species
GUGAGGAAUAUUGGUCAAUGGGCGGAAGCCUGAACCAGCCAUGCCGCGUGAAGGACGAAGGCGUUCUGCGUUGUAAACUUCUUUUAUAAGGGAAGAAACCUGCGAUAUCUAUUGCAGCCAACGGUACCUUAUGAAUAAGUACCGGCUAACUCCGUGCCAGCAGCCGCGGUAAUACGGAGGGUGCAAGCGUUAUCCGGAUUCACUGGGUUUAAAGGGUGUGUAGGCGGGCUUGUAAGUCAGGGGUGAAAUCCUACAGCUUAACUGUAGAACUGCCUUUGAUACUAUAGGUCUUGAAUAUUGUUGAGGUGGGCGGAAUACAUCAUGUAGCGGUGAAAUGCUUAGAUAUGAUGUAGAACACCGAUUGCGAAGGCAGCUCACUAAGCAAAUAUUGACGCUGAGGCACGAAAGCGUGGGGAUCAAACAGGAUUAGAAACCCUUGUAGUCC